ACAACACAAAGUUGAUCCCAUCCAAGCCGCCCGCUCUUUUUGUCGGCCAACGACUCGACUCUCCGCCCUCGUCCGUACUCCAAACCCCAAAGCUCUGCUCGAGAAGACGUGGAUCACCUAGCGCCAGCGCCAAGGAGUAUUACAACCUUCUUACAAUAUUUCACGGAUUCCCCCGGCAAAGAGACAACAAUUACCUAAAUGAUGAUUCCUAUCUUAACUUUGUUGGUUACAAGGCUGCCAAGGUGCAGAACCUCUUGACCACACACUUGGUCGAUUUCUUGCUGACAACUUCAAGCAGUUGGAAAAGAUGGCAAUCCUGGUUGCUUAACCAGUCGCUUAACCUGGUGCUGGGAUUAGCAAUUCUUAGUCGGUCAUAAAAAGCGGUUCAUUGAAUCGAAUCAGUAAGAAAUACUUCACUCAUUGCUCUGACUUGUUAUAUUUUCAAUCAGAAUACAAUUUCGAUCUUGGAACAUAAGAAAACAAA